UGGUUGACAGCCGGAGGUCACCAGUUGACUUGAGGUUGGUGGAGGUAUUUAAGGUGGAGGCGAAGGGUGGUGGACAUUGUGGACUGUGACUCCCUGAGAAGUGAACACCUUCAGGUCCCCAAGAUGGUCUCUAGAGCUGUGAUGAUGAUGGUGUUGGUGGUGGCCGCUGUCCUGGUGGCGGCCCUGGCCGGUCCCGCGGCAGCCCCGGUAGGUCACCCGGGAUAUCUUGGCUACGGUGGAUAUGGUGGAUAUGGUGGAUAUGGUGGCUAUGGUGGAUAUGGUGGUUUUGGAUAUCGCAGAUAUGGGUUCGGAUAUGGACGCUGAGGCCAAGCUGGAUCAGACUGGCACUGUGACGAAUGUUGCAACCUCAUCAUCAACCUUACAUAGUUUUUUAAUAAAUAUAUAAAUAUA
rnacentral:lncRNA from 1 species